rnacentral:rRNA from 1 species
CGAAGGGUGCAAGCGUUACUCGGAAUUACUGGGCGUAAAGCGUGCGUAGGUGGUGAGUUAAGUCUGUCGUGAAAGCCCCGGGCUCAACCUGGGAAUGGCGAUGGAUACUGGCUCGCUGGAGUGCGGUAGAGGAGAGUGGAAUUCCCGGUGUAGCAGUGAAAUGCGUAGAGAUCGGGAGGAACAUCAGUUGCGAAGGCGGCUCUCUGGACCAGCACUGACACUGAGGCACGAAAGCGUGGGGAGCAAACAGGAUUAGAUACCCUGGUAGUCCACGCCCUAAACGAUGCGAACUGGACGUUGGGAGCAAUCAGGCUCUCAGUGUCGAAGCUAACGCGUUAAGUUCGCCGCCUGGGGAGUACGGUCGCAAGACUG